rnacentral:rRNA from 1 species
GGUGAAUGCUGGCGGCGUGCUUAAGACAUGCAAGUCGAACGGGCUCUUCGGAGCCAGUGGCGCACGGGUGAGUAACGCGUAACUGACCUACCCCAAAGUCGCGGAUAACGAUUCGAAAGAAUCGCUAAUACGUGAUGUGCUGUCAGAUCCUGUUCUGCCAGUAAAGAUUUAUUGCUUUGGGAUGGGGUUGCGUUCCAUCAGCUAGUUGGUGGGGUAAAGGCCCACUAAGGCGACGACGGAUCGCCGGCCUGAGAGGGUGGCCGGCCACAGGGGCACUGAGACACGGGUCCCACUCCUACGGGAGGCAGCAGUUAGGAAUCUUCCACAAUGGGCGAAAGCCUGAUGGAGCGACGCCGCGUGAGGGAUGAAGGUCUUCGGAUCGUAAACCUCUGAAUCAGGGACGAAAGACGCGAAAGCGGGAUGACGGUACCUGAGUAAUAGCACCGGCUAACUCCGUG